rnacentral:rRNA from 1 species
GAGCUAAACAGCUAGCUUAACCACCUAAAUAUCUAAAACAACAUUAAAAUAUCUUAAAAACCCACAAUAUUCUAAAUUAAAACAUUUUACCGCCCCAGUAUGUGUGACAGAAAAGG